rnacentral:rRNA from 1 species
GAAGCGGCAACAGCUCAAAUUUGAAAUCUGGCGCAAGCCCGAGUUGUAAUUUGUAGAGGAUGUUUCUGGCGACGUGCCUUCCGAGUUCCCUGGAACGGGACGCCAUAGAGGGUGAGAGCCCCGUACGGUUGGAUGCCUAGCCUCUGUGAAACUCCUUCGACGAGUCGAGUAGUUUGGGAAUGCUGCUCUAAAUGGGAGGUAUACGUCUUCUAAAGCUAAAUACCGGCCAGAGACCGAUAGCGCACAAGUAGAGUGAUCGAAAGAUGAAAAGCACUUUGAAAAGAGGGUUAAAAAGUACGUGAAAUUGUUGAAAGGGAAGCGUUCAUGACCAGACUUGGGCAGGUUGAUCAUCCGUGGUUCUCCGCGGUGCACUCUGCCUGUCCAGGCCAGCAUCAGUUCGCCCCGGGGGAUAAAGGCUUCGGGAAUGUGGCUCCUCCGGGAGUGUUAUAGCCCGCUGCGUAAUACCCUGGGGGGGACUGAGGUUCUCGCACUGCAAGGAUGCUGGCGUAAUG